rnacentral:rRNA from 1 species
GAUGAACGCUGGCGGCGUGCCUAAUACAUGCAAGUCGAGCGAACAGAUGAGGAGCUUGCUCCUCUGACGUUAGCGGCGGACGGGUGAGUAACACGUGGAUAACCUACCUAUAAGACUGGGAUAACUUCGGGAAACCGGAGCUAAUACCGGAUAAUAUAUUGAACCGCAUGGUUCAAUAGUGAAAGACGGUUUUGCUGUCACUUAUAGAUGGAUCCGCGCCGCAUUAGCUAGUUGGUAAGGUAACGGCUUACCAAGGCAACGAUGCGUAGCCGACCUGAAAGGGUGGUCGGCCAGACUGGAACUGAGGAACGGUCCAGACUCCUACGGGAGGAAGCAGUAGGGAAUCUUCCGCAAUGGGCGAAAGCCUGACGGAGCAACGCCGCGUGAGUGAUGAAGGUCUUCGGAUCGUAAAACUCUGUUAUUAGGGAAGAACAAAUGUGUAAGUAACUAUGCACGUCUUGACGGUACCUAAUCAGAAAGCCACGGCUAACUACGUG